AGAGUUUGAUCCUGGCUCAGAGCGAACGCUGGCGGCAGGCUUAACACAUGCAAGUCGAGCGCCCCGCAAGGGGAGCGGCAGACGGGUGAGUAACGCGUGGGAACGUACCUUUUGGUUCGGAACAACACAGGGAAACUUGUGCUAAUACCGGAUAAGCCCUUACGGGGAAAGAUUUAUCGCCGAAAGAUCGGCCCGCGUCUGAUUAGCUUGUUGGUGAGGUAACGGCUCACCAAGGCGACGAUCAGUAGCUGGUCUGAGAGGAUGAUCAGCCACAUUGGGACUGAGACACGGCCCAAACUCCUACGGGAGGCAGCAGUGGGGAAUAUUGGACAAUGGGCGCAAGCCUGAUCCAGCCAUGCCGCGUGAGUGAUGAAGGCCCUAGGGUUGUAAAGCUCUUUUAACGGGGAAGAUAAUGACGGUACCCGAGAUUAUUCCCCGG
rnacentral:rRNA from 1 species